AGGUAAAACAGUGGUAUCUAUAAGACCCAGGGACAUAGAGGAGCAACGCUAAGCAGAGCAUAGCAGGGCGGGAGGAUCCAUAGAAGCUAAUGAUGAAUGUAAUAGUGUGUAACAGAGAUGUACAACCAAUGGCGGCAGAAUGUCACAGACAAUUAAUGUCUCCUCAGCACUGUGUUUGUUUGCUUCCCCCAGGCUUUCAGCAGGGCUUAACUAAUGGUAUGCUGGUCAAGGACAUAAAUUGUGUUUGACACCAUGUGUGAAGCGCACAAUUACAUAUUGCCCACAAAUGUUUGGCUAUAGACCUGAGAGGUAUUUCUCCAUGUGCUCUGAAUGUGUCAUGGCAAUAAUGUUUGUAGAUGAGAGUUUUGCAGAAUAGAAAAUCAUCUGCAAAAGAACAUCUGCAACGUUUCAAAAAAAGUUCUUACUGAACGUAGCUGCAAAACAUUAAUUGUCAACAUGUUUCAUUUAUUGUACUCCAAUAUCUGGUUGUAGCAAGGGAAAGUGUUUUAGUACAAAGUCUGCCCCCUGACCCUAGAUUGCCCCCCCAUUAAAUGGUGUUUAUCCAAUCUUUUCUGAAAAGUCCAAAGUGCCAAAGACAAAGCCAUUUGGCUGUUAUAUCGUCAUAACAGUAGGCAGCACCAAAUCCCCAGAUUGUGUAAUAGUUUUGCAUGGCAUGUUUUGCAAAGCUAAUUACAGCUUAAGAGUCCGUCGCCCUCAUCCUUCCUCCCAUCCCUCCCUCCUCGUCUCUGACAUGAAUUCUGCCCCAGCAUUACCAUCUAAGGUUAUUGUAUUCCAUAAAACCUAGCAGGCUAGGCAUUUGGAUCUCACUGGGCAAGCCCGUAUUUGAAGUCUCCCCUUUGAUAUUCAGGGAGCUUUUUUCUCUGACUGUUAAUGAUUUUAAUUAUAGGUGGUACUGGGACUUUCUAAGCUUUGUGCUGCAGAACAUAAUGUUUUUUCCUCUCUCUUCCUUGACACGAUGGGAGGCUUUCUGAAACAGAUGCAGAGAUGUUGAGCCACCCCUCUGAUGUCUCUGUAGGACUAUUAAGCUGUAACAACUUAAUUUCACAGCGCCACACAAGCACUGGGCUUUGACGGCACUUAAUGAGUAUUACGGUCUUUUCAUCCGUGUCAAAUUUUAUGACAAGCCCUCUAUUUUACUCCAUGGCUCGCAGUGGGUUUGUGAAUGUGUAAUGAUAAUUGAGAGGAAAACGGUGCAGUGCCCAGCUGUGUACCAAAUCAUUCUGUCAAGAACUGAAUUUAUGAGUGUAUGCAUAUGGCUGUGUUUCUGUGCAGGACUGGUGAUGAAAAUAAUUACCAGGUGAAAGAAAAAUCUGGACAUUUUCUGCCACUUUGCUGUGCAGUUCAAAGACAUUUAGUUUUUGCCAACAUAUGUUUUCACUGGUUAUGGUCUAAAAACAAAUAGAAAUAGAACAUAUUCUCACCCACUUUUACAAUGUGUUAAUCUGGUGUUGGUGGUUUCAGUCUAAUCUUUAUGAGCUACAUGCAAGUAUAUCCCGAUGAGGGCUGUUUAGACGGAAUUAUUGCAGAAAUACAAGCAUAAACCAGCAAGUGAGAAAGUGUGCUACACAGCUUUUACAAGUUUUACAAGAAAGUAUUUGCUAGACACAUAAAAACAUUUGUACAAUGUCCAGCGAGCGGCACUUCCUCGAAGUGAAUGGGUUGAUUUGUUUAUGAACUAAUAUAGUGGUACUCCAAUAAAACUCAAUAAAAAUCUCAAUACCAUUCACCUAAGUUUCCAUUUUUAUUACACACAUACAUAUUCCCUUAUACCUAUGCAUUUUAGCAAAAAUGCAUCAUCAAUACAACUCCACAAGAGUAGUAUCCUCAAACACCAAAUCCUAUUCUGAAGCUACAUUUAAUCGAACACAUUUGUGAAUGCAAAUGUAGAAAAGAUGCACACAACUUCAACACAGUUGGAUAGUUUAAGGCCCUAAUUAUUAAUGAAUUGUAAACUAAAACAUACUCACAAUACAAGGUAGGCUUGAGGAAACCCAACAAAACAUGUCUAAGAGAUGAUUUAAUGUGCAGGUGCAAUGUUCUUUGGUAUUACUUUGAAACUGCAUUGCAUAUCAUUGCUUUUAUUGUGGCAACAGAAGGCUACGUUCACACAUACUCAGGUGGUCCAGCGAAAAAACGCUACUCUUUCUAUUCAUUCUUUAUUUUACAUAGGGGUAAAAGGGGGAACUGAUCAAGUUUGUUUUUCCAAAACGCAUCAGUAUAAGAAAAUGAAAUGUUGAAUUGAGGCCAUAGUAUUGAGAUUGCUUUUGUGUUUUUGGAGUGCCACUAUGUCAGUUCAUAAGUUCUUGAAGACUACAAAUCUAUAACAGAAAUUCUGCGCUACAAACUGCAGGCAUAGAGGGUGUGAGGGUCUAAUGAAAGAGGAAGUGUAGGAUCCAUUGAUCUUGGGGUUUGAGAUGUAUCAAGAUAGCUCCCGGAUAUCAAUCUGCUACACUUUCACCAAAUUAUUCAACCACUUACUUUAAAAAGAUUUAUUACACAAACCACAAUUCAUAUUCACUUUUUUCCUUACUUUCAAAUAAGUAAUUUAAAUAACAAAGCUGUGGACUUGUAAACCAUUCAGCUUGGAUGGUUGAUUGGUAUGCAAUGUAAAAGUGUCUAGAAGAGAUGCUUCUUUCCAAGAUCUCAGCAAUACAUUUGGUGUGUAUUAUCAAAUCAAACAGAAGUGAUA